rnacentral:rRNA from 1 species
CGUGAGAUGUUGGGUUAAGUCCCGCAACGAGCGCAACCCUUGCCAUUAGUUGCUACGAAAGGGCACUCUAAUGGGACUGCCGGUGACAAACCGGAGGAAGGUGGGGAUGACGUCAGGUCAUCAUGGCCCUUAUGGGUAGGGCUACACACGUCAUACAAUGGCCGGUACAGAGGGCUGCCAACCCGCGAGGGGGAGCCAAUCCCAGAAAACGGUCGUAGUCCGGAUCGUAGUCUGCAACUCGACUGCG